AGAGUUUGAUCCUGGCUCAGAACGAACGCUGGCGGCGUGGAUAAGACAUGCAAGUCGAACGGGAUAACAUCUGUAGCAAUACAGGUGUUAUCUAGUGGCGAACGGGUGCGUAACACGUGGGCAAUCUGCCGAGAAGUGGGGGAUAGCUCGCCGAAAGGCGAAUUAAUACCGCAUAUGGUCAGUGAAGACAUCUUCACAACACCAAAGCCGGGGCAACCUGGCGCUUCUUGAUGAGCCCGCGGCCUAUCAGCUAGUUGGUGAGGUAACGGCUCACCAAGGCUAUGACGGGUAGCUGGUCUGAGAGGACGACCAGUCACACUGGAACUGAGACACGGUCCAGACACCUACGGGUGGCAGCAGUCGAGAAUUUUUCACAAUGGGGGCAACCCUGAUGGAGCGACGCCGCGUGGAGGAUGAAGGCUUUCGGGUUGUAAACUCCUGUCAUUUGAGAACAAGGUGCAUCGAUUAACUGUCGAUGCAUUGAUAGUAUCAGAAGAGGAAGAGACGGCUAACUCUGUGCCAGCAGCCGCGGUAAUACAGAGGUCUCAAGCGUUGUUCGGAUUCAUUGGGCGUAAAGGGUGCGUAGGUGGCGGGGUAAGUCAGGUGUGAAAUUUCGGAGCUCAACUCCGAAACUGCAUUUGAUACUGCCUUGCUUGAGGACUGGAGAGGAGACUGGAAUUCACGGUGUAGCAGUGAAAUGCGUAGAUAUCGUGAGGAAGACCAGUGGCGAAGGCGGGUCUCUGGACAGAUCCUGACACUGAGGCACGAAGGCCAGGGGAGCAAACGGGAUUAGAUACCCUAGUAGUCC
rnacentral:rRNA from 1 species